AAGGCUAAAUACUCCUGACUGACCGAUAGUGAACCAGUACCGUGAGGGAAAGGCGAAAAGAACCCCGGCGAGGGGAGUGAAAAAGAACCUGAAACCGUGUACGUACAAGCAGUGGGAGCCCCACCACCAAAGCAUUCUCUGGUGUUGAAGGCCCUGCAAAGCAGCAUCGCGGUGGCGGAGCGUCGUUUGCGACGCCCAACACAAAAAACAAGCGGUGAGUGCUUUGGGGUGGGGUGACUGCGUACCUUUUGUAUAAUGGGUCAGCGACUUAUAUUCUGUAGCAAGGUUAACCGAAUAGGGGAGCCGUAGGGAAACCGAGUCUUAACUGGGCGUUAAGUUGCAGGGUAUAGACCCGAAACCCGGUGAUCUAGCCAUGGGCAGGUUGAAGGUUGGGUAACACUAACUGGAGGACCGAACCGACUAAUGUUGAAAAA
rnacentral:rRNA from 5 species